GUCACGUAGAUCAAGUUGUGCACGAAGGAAGUAAUAAGUGCAUUUUACCAGAAACAACUUUACACUUUCCGGACAAUGAGGCGCACCAAUGCGAUCUCGUCCGUUUGGGAACGAUUCGCACAUGACCACCAUUUGCAAGCAACAACGUACGCCAACAACGCAACAACACCACACAACACGUUCAAUCGCUCACCUUUGCCUUCGGCCUUCUGCGUAGUCCUGAGAACGCGUGUGUGCGUGAACGCCGUGCGUCUGCUUGCUUCUUGUCGAGCGCGCGGCGGCGGUGGUCGCUGGUGCCACUGGUGGAGACGGAUUUCACGGCGUCGCUUACGGCGCUACGUGCACUACGGUUUAGCUUGCCAAACGCGCAAUUUGACGCGAAGUCCUAGACCGAAUCGAGAAAAGGAGCGGCGAUUGCGGACCUCGACAACACUCAACACCAGUCUGCGGAACCUAGUUUAAGGCGCAAGCCGCACGAAACGACACGAAAUUUACGAAUGUCACCUAGGCGAACGCGUUUUCUUUGGCGCAAAACACGCGAGUCAUUGUAUACUUCAAACACUCACGUUUAGAUGCCACUGUUGUCACCAUAUAAUUAAUAUUUACAUCAAGUUUAUUUACGGCAAGUCAAACCGAAUAAAUCAUUUGUUUAGCAACGGAUUAUCAAUAUAAACAAUUAUCUUUAAUUAAAUUCGUAAAAAAACAAAUAA